AACACUUUUCGCUUGUAAUUUGCCCCAGGGCAGGGACUGGCUUUUUGUCCGUGACCUCCCGGAAUCCAGUACCUGAAUUUCGGCACACAGUGGGUGCUCGAUGGCAUUUGCUGAAUGAACGCGGGAGCAAAUGAAUAGUAUAACCUUACCGUGUCACAGCAUACUUGGAAUGGAGCGAGAAGUUAAAGAAAUGAGAAGCUGUGAGCAGCCCUCUGAUUCCACCAAACCCACUGGAUUAACAAAAACCUGAAAGUAAAACACCACAAAAUGAUAUCCCUGCAUGAGCUACUAUCAUACCUUGCAUCCUACAAUUACACCAGUUCAAUCUAAAUGCCCCCAAAACAUAAUUUCAUUAAUUCAGGCCAUUUCAGAACGGCUCGACAUUGUCUCGUCUUGGAUUUUCCGUUGUUAGUUUUCAGCAGAGAAGGGUGCAGGCACAGGCCACCUUAGCAAUGUGGUGAGGAGCCCACGGCACAGUGAAGACGACGGGACAGCGAGCGGCUGGCGGAGGACCGAAGAGGGGAACCGGAAACGUUGAUUUGGGGAUGAAAAGAAGAAGAGGAAGAAGAAGAAGAAAAGAAAAAAACGAGCGGAGAAGAAGAGGGAAGGAGAUCCAGGAGGAAUCCCGCGGGCAGGUACACGGAGCUGCACUGGGGUCGCCUGCCUGUGGCUGGCACCGCCCGGGGAGCUGAGAAACACCAUGACACCGGGCUGAGCGUCGCCUGCAGACACGGGACCGGGCCUCAGAGCUGCUUUCAAGGCCAGCGUUCAAGGUGUCUUAUGGCCUCCGAGUCAAACCCUUUAUAGAGAUUUCCUCCUGUGACAGAAUCCUUGGACCGACACAGAUGCACCGUGUGUAGUUAAUUUACUUUAUCAGAGGG